UACAGAGGUCUCAAGCGUUGUUCGGAUUCAUUGGGCGUAAAGGGUGCGUAGGCGGCGCGGUAAGUCGGGUGUGAAAUCUCGGGGCUUAACUCCGAAACUGCAUUCGAUACUGCCGUGCUUGAGGACUGGAGAGGAGACUGGAAUUUACGGUGUAGCGGUGAAAUGCGUAGAUAUCGUAAGGAAGACCAGUGGCGAGGGCGGGUCUCUGGACAGUUCCUGACGCUGAGGCACGAAGGCCAGGGGAGCAAACGGG
rnacentral:rRNA from 1 species